CCGUUGCACACACCGCCCGUCACACCACGAAAGUCGGCAACACCCGAAGUCAGUGGCCCAACCCGCAAGGGAGGGAGCUGCCGAAGGUGGGGUUGGUGAUUGGGGUG
rnacentral:rRNA from 1 species